GGAUUGAACGCUGGCGGCAGGCCUAACACAUGCAAGUCGAGCGGUAGAGAGGUGCUUGCACCUCUUGAGAGCGGCGGACGGGUGAGUAAAGCCUAGGAAUCUGCCUGGUAGUGGGGGAUAACGCUCGGAAACGGACGCUAAUACCGCAUACGUCCUACGGGAGAAAGCAGGGGACCUUCGGGCCUCGCCGCCAUUAGAUGAGCCUAGGUCGGAUUAGCUAGUUGGUGAGGUAAUGGCUCACCAAGGCGACGAUCCGUAACUGGUCUGAGAGGAUGAUCAGUCACACUGGAACUGAGACACGGUCCAG
rnacentral:rRNA from 1 species